AACUGGCUCUGUUGCAAACAUGAAGAACCCGAGGUCUACAUCGAUCAGGGCGGCUGAAGUUGUGCAUGAAAUUCAGGAGCGGAUUGCAAGUAGCCCCCAAAAAUCAACUCGAAGACUGUCUCAGCAAGUUGGUGUAGCCAGAAAUC